GUUUCAGCCUCCAGCCCGUUAAUCAUUUUUGUUGCUCUUCUCUGCAUUCUUUCCAGAGUCUCUACAUCAGCAGUGUUGCAGUGAGAUGAUCUAGAUAAGGAUGAUGCGCAGCAUUUUCUUCUUCUGGAAGGAGUUUCCAGCUUUCAGAGGGAAAGGUUUCUCCAUCUAUCAAAAUAGGGCAAAACACAAGUGAGCAAGACUGCACUUGAGAAAGUGUCCCAGAAUGAGGUGCACAGUUUGUUUUGAGGGUCCCUGAGAAAUUGACCACCUGGGUGUCCAAGAGAAGAGGCCGAUCUGUAUUCAUUGCAAAUGCUUUAAUCAGAAGUUUCCCUACAGAUUUCCGUACGACAGUCAGUUGUUGUGUCAAGGUCCCCUGCUGGGAUCAGGCCAGCCAGCCAGAUAAAAAAACGCAAACAGGCACAUGCCUCAAGGCAGCAUGGAGAUGCCAUUAAAUCCCACCCGAGAUGAAAAAAAUGCCAAGCCGUAUUCCUAAGAUGCUAUAAGUUAUAAUUUUAAAUAGCCUCCAGGGAAAGAACUGCUUGAAGGAUUUCACUGCCCUGCUGGAGAUUUGAGAGAACAUCUGCCUGGGCCACCUGCAUUGGUCAUCUUUCAUUGACUUUGCAUCUGUUGCUUUUGUUAGCACAAAUUCAAUUACCUGCAGCCGUCUGGGGACCCUUUGAUUUGUAUUGGGCCAAGCUGAUGGACAGCUGCAGAAAUGGCUGGGUGAGCUCUGUUUAGCUAAGAGGCAGAGAAUAAUACUGGGCAUCAGAGCCAAAUUCAGCCCUGGAACUGGAGAAAAUGGAUUGUUGAAAAAUGAGCGGGCAGCUUGGCUUGUAUCACCUGUGCUGCCUCUGCUCAGAAGAACAGCAAUAGAGGCUGGGGGAAAGGAGUUACAAUGCCAGAAAAUGAGGCCCCAAGAAAAUAACCCUUUGAGCAGAGCAGAAACAAAUGAGUUCCACAAACUGGGAUUUAUAUGACUCGACUGGUCUGCUUCCUACAACUGGCAUUUCAGAGGGACUGGAACAUCACGCUGAACACACUGAGCUGACAGGUCGGGUCUCCUUUUGAUGAGCUUCCACCCCUUGUUCCUUGUCCUGCCCUCAGGUGCUUUGGAGAAUAAAUCAACAGCCUCUUUCCUGUGACAGCCUUCAGGGCCUCAGCAACUUUUUUGUAUUGUGGUGACCAGAACAAGCUUCCUAUAGGAGAUGACCAGGCUGAGCCCAAGGGAGGGAUCAAGCAUGUCAUCAGUCUCCGGUCAACGUCAUGCCCACAAGAGAUCUAAGUCCAGCCCUCCUUGAAUUCCAUUGACUCUUAUCUACCUCCAAUUCCCUUUUACCAUUAGUAGUUCAGAUUCUUGUAGUGGAGCGGGUUAGCACGCAAUAAACCUGCAGUCAUUUGAA